AACACCCACAAACAACGUCACGACGCAACGUGGUUAAACAGUACGUUUAUUAAAGUAACUGGGUGAACGACACCGGAGCGGACUGCAAAUCGCAACGCUACUUUCUCGAGUGCAGAUACUCUUCGAGACGGCUAAACAACGUGUCCAACUCGCUGAGACCUUUCCGCGUGCCGUUAUCCGAUUUCCUUUCCGCCUCCUGAGACAGCCGACUAAUCACGGACUUAUCUCCGCAACCUAACAGAGGCUGGGAGCCCGACAAAAGUAAAACAGCGUGCUAUGAACACGUUGUUACCUCUGCGCGGACAGCGCCGCCACAGAGACACUUACGCAUUGCCGCAUGUCUUUGUAGAUGGAUUCUAGCGUCGAGCGCAUACUAUGCAAUUCCGUCUUAAGUCCGGGAUAGACGUGGUCGCCUGCGGGGAACACGAUCUCCAGAUACCGCCUCAACAACCAAUCCAUGACGCUGCAUCCCCAACAGCCUUUGACCACCGUACCGUCGAGCCACACGGAGUAGUCGUCCUCACGUUGCUACAAGAGGAAAACUACGUCACCCGACACGCGGAAAAGAAAGACCGUCGCAAUAAACCGUACCUACGUGACCUACCAACGUAGGUUUUACUCGAUGAAAGGUGACGCGGAGAUCUUGCAAUCUGGUCGCGUAAUCCUCCGGACGACACUGCGGCUUUGUAUUCUUUAUCGUCGUCGUCGCCGGCUUCGCCUCCUCGGAAGCGCCUAGAAAAAAGACGAUCAGGACCAGAGAGGAAGAGACCAUCACCGACAGCAUCGCCGCAGCAUGCCGCCCCAGUCCGCCGCCCAACUGCGCGUCCCAGGUACCACCCGUAGACUGUCAGCCUCGCGAGGAGACACCGCGGACCGGGGAAACGGAUAAGUUUACGAACAGAAAUCUCAAGAGAAAGACGCUGACCCGAUAAGUACCGUCACGGAGACACGGUGGUUUUUAUUGAAUUUCCAGUGUAUCGAGCCACCGUGAUGCAGGUACGGUGGUUUUAUGUAAAGUGUCGCUAUCUAUAGGCGAUGUGUUCCCUGACGGUGUGUGUUUUUUUGGGGAUAGACAACGUGGUUCUUGUACGUGGUUUUUACCCUGCUCAAUAAAGUCACGUUUUCCUUACACGGUGUUGUGUC
rnacentral:lncRNA from 1 species